rnacentral:rRNA from 1 species
UACGGGGGGGGCAAGCGUUGUUCGGAAUUACUGGGCGUAAAGGGCUCGUAGGUGGCCAACUAAGUCGGACGUGAAAUCCCUCGGCUUAACCGGGGAACUGCGUCUGAUACUGGAUGGCUUGAGUUCGGGAGAGGGAUGCGGAAUUCCAGGUGUAGCGGUGAAAUGCGUAGAUAUCUGGAGGAACACCGGUGGCGAAGGCGGCAUCCUGGACCGACACUGACGCUGAGGAGCGAAAGCCAGGGGAGCAAGCGGG